rnacentral:rRNA from 1 species
AUGUUGAUUAGUAGGGUAGAUCUCCGUAGCACAGUCGAGAUGUGUUCAGUCCAACCCCAUGGCAUUAGGGAGGUCGAGUUCGUCGCGAGCAGCAGUACAUGUUUGUUGGCUUACUCCAGCAGCCAGCCCAGCCUUCCCUCCCGAUCAUCAGUCCAACUUCUUGCUCCGACGCCGGUCACUCAAAGAGCCGCGUGCAGGCCACCCGUGUUUCACCUCCUGAUCCAGCUCAACUUUCUCCAUUCUUCAGCAUUUUUGAUUGUCGCAUGGUACUUGUAUUGGCUGCUAGACUUCAUGUAUUACUGCCAGGUACUAGGUGGUGGCAUUGCUUCACUUCUCUUGUUACGUUCUCUUCGCUCAAAUUUGGAGGAUCAAGAAAAUAAAAUAUCAUUGUUUUGA